UGUGAUUAGGGUUCCUAAACAAUGGAAUCUUUACAACGCAGAGUUGAAUCAUGGAUCAGAGGCCAAAAAUCGAAGAUGUUGAAAAUCACUUGGCCACAGCAAUGGAAGAUGGUUGUCCGGUGGCCUUGGGCCGAUGCAAGAGAGCAGAGGAAACUGAUGGAGGAUGAAUUCAAGCGGAGGAAGAAGCAACUUGAGGAUCUCUGUCACGCUGUUAAAGCUGAAUCUGUCGCUGACUUGCACGAUAUCCUUUGUUGCAUGGUGCUUUCUGAAUGUGUAUAUAAGAGACCUGAUGCUGAAAUGGUGCGGGCAGUGAACAAAUUUAAGGCAGACUUUGGAGGAGAAGUUGUUUCCUUAGAGCGCGUUCAACCUUCUUCAGAUCAUGUUCCACACAGGUAUCUUUUGGCGGAAGCAGGAGAUACAUUAUUUGCUUCCUUUAUUGGGACCAAACAAUAUAAGGAUGUCAUGGCUGAUGUGAAUAUAUUUCAAG
rnacentral:misc_RNA from 1 species